ACGCGCACGUUUGGUUUACGGAUCCUGACCACCUUCUUGAGCUCGCCAUCUUCAGCUUCACCACUUGCACGGCUCAUGUCUUCGACAUCAUCUCUGGACGCCUGGUUGCUGACACUGUCUUCAAGGCGUUGGCUGAGCCGGGACUAUCUGUUUGUAAAGGGAAUUGGUUUGUUGCAUUUAUAGCAAGUGUAUUGCUCAAGCUCAAAUGCUGCAAGCAAUAAGAGAGCUUGGACAUGGAAAUUAUCCUGGGUGGAGUAGCUUCUAUCAGCAAUGAGAUCUCUUGGUUCAAGAAUGAAGGUAACAGGUGGUGAAGCUGCGACCACCUUGGAGCAAACAGAUGGUGAAACCGAAGAGCCGACCAUUGUAGCACCUGCUAAUGAAUAUACAGAGCAGGAGGCUGCUCCUCAGCAGAAGUGUGCAAAGAUACACGACUUUUGCCUAGGGAUACCUUUUGGCAUUGCCGCUGCUGUAGCAUGGAAGCACGGCCAGGCGUACACCACUACGAUGAAGCUGCUUCCGUGGGGAUUCUACGUCACACAUGCAGAGGAAAUGCUGCUUCGACUUUGCACGACUUGUGUAGUAAAACACAACACACUGAAUAAUAAUAGUUCUCUGAAAAUAAAACGUUUUGCAAUUUUAUAGCCUUUCCGCUUUUUAUAGAUACGAACCGCAAUAUGCAUGAUAUUACAUUGGCUGGAAUAUGCAUGAUAUUACAUUGGCUGGAUUUAGUUUUCUUGAUGAGAGUUAUUCAGACUACGGAUAUUAUUUUCUAACAUUGGUUGAUUGGAUAAUUGGACAGAUACUGCAAGUGAUGGCCGAUACCCGGCUGAUUCCUCAGGCUCCACCUCUAGCCCUUCAAUUACAAGGAGGAACUCAUGGCCGACUAACAGGCAGCCCCAACCGGAUGGAUCGAACAAUGCCAUCAACAGAAAAGGCAGCCCUCCUUCAAUCGUGGCUAAGAAAAAUCUGCCUCCUUCACGCCGCAGCACAGAUCAAUUCAAGAAAUCUGAGGACAGGGUUGUUGUUACUAUGGCUCCAGACGCAACGCCAAUCAAAAUGGUGGCUGAGGAGAAGCUGCUGAAAGAAGGCAAUGUUAAGGAGAGGCUUGAAGCGCGGCGGGUGCUGUUUCAUAAGACUGGUGACAAAGGUUACAAGAAGGUGGCUGGUCCCAAGUCAGGAUCCAGAGUUGUUCCAUACAGUUAGGAAGGGGAUGGUGACUCGGAAGAGACGGCUGAGACUGAGGACGCGCGCGAAGAAUUUCAGUCAGCUCACGAAGAUGAGGACCUGUUGAAGAUCAGGAUGCAGCUCGUUCAGAUUGAGAAUCAGCAGGCCAGUUUGCUUAAUCUUCUCCAGGUAGUUAUGCCUUUUUACAAGAAUUCUGGAAGCAGAGAAGAACUCUGCUCUAUCGUCAGAUUUAACUAAGGCUGUGGAAAUUCACAAAAGAGUAGGAGCCUUUGCCAUGGCUCUUCAGACAAUAAACAAGUGCAUGUCUGAUGCAGUCUGUGCCAUGGCACGGAGUAUGUUAGAUGGCGAGAGUCGUGCUGCUGCCCUAAUUCAUUCUGGCAAUGAAAUUUUGGAGACAGCUAGAUACUCUUCUGAAGCCAGAGAAGGAUCUCAUUUCUGAGCAACAAACUGUGCUGAGACAGCUUGAAGCUAUUCUCCAUAUUUAUAGGCUAGUUCGAGCUGGGCAAACUGUAGAUGCUUUGAGGGAAACCAUCAGGCUACCCUUCCUUCAUCUGGACCCUAAGGCUCCAAAUGUGACUGUAGUGUAGUGUUCUGUAAAUUUCCUCGAUCAAAGAUGCUUGGUUGCAUAA